AAGCUGGCGGCAUGCCUAUCAUGCAAGUCGAGCGGAGUUGAUAGGAAGCUUGCUUCCUUGAUACUUAGCGGCGGACGGGUGAGUAACACGUAGGCAACCUACCCUCAAGUUUGGGACAACUACCGGAAACGGUAGCUAAUACCGAAUAAUUGUUUUCUUCGCCUGAAGGAAACUGGAAAGACGGAGCAAUCUGUCACUUGGGGAUGGGCCUGCGGCGCAUUAGCUAGUUGGUGAGGUAACGGCUCACCAAGGCGACGAUGCGUAGCCGACCUGAGAGGGUGAUCGGCCACACUGGGACUGAGACACGGCCCAGACUCCUACGGGAGGCAGCAGUAGGGAAUCUUCCGCAAUGGGCGAAAGCCUGACGGAGCAAUGCCGCGUGAGUGAUGAAGGUUUUCGGAUCGUAAAGCUCUGUUGCCAGGGAAGAACGCUUGGGAGAGUAACUGCUCUCAAGGUGACGGUACCUGAGAAGAAAGCCCCGGCUAACUACGUGCCAGCAGCCGCGGUAAU
rnacentral:rRNA from 1 species